GCAGUGGUGGUUCAGUAGUAGAAUUCUUGCCUUCCAUGUAGGAGACCCAGGUUCAAUUCCUGGCCAGUGCA
rnacentral:tRNA from 1 species